GGGCUUAUCUGGCAGGGAAGAUACCAUGACCAGGAAGGUGGUUUUCCAGGGCAAGGCUCAUCCGUUGUUCUUCAUGUGUGCCCGUCCCUGAGAUUUCUCCACAUUCAAGAGUUUUAGCUGCACUGAUUAUGGUAAUAGGGACUACAUUCACACUCGCCUUC